ensembl:misc_RNA 7SK 7SK RNA
GGAUGUGAGGGCGAUCUGACUGUGACAUCUGUCACCCCAUUGAUCGCCAGGAUUAAUUCGGCUGAUCUGGCUGGCUAGGCGGGUGUCCCCUUCCUCCCUCACCUCUCCAUGUGCAUCUCUCCCGAAGCUGUGUGCUUGGUCGAAGAGGAUGGCCUUCCCAGAAUAGAGACGACCAGUCUUCAGUCAAGGGUAUAGGAGUAGCUGUGCUCUCCUGCUAGAACCUCCAAACAAGCUUUCAAAUAUGGGAAAAGAAUAUAAUUAUUGUUAGCUAUAAGCCUGCAAUGAUUAGCCCAUAAUCAUUGCAGGAGCCUGUGUAACCUCUGUAU